AAUACCUAGGAAUCUGCCUGGUAGUGGGGGACAACGUUUCGAAAGGAACGCUAAUACCGCAUACGCCCUACGGGGGAAAGCAGGGGACCUUCGGGCCUUGCGCUAUCAGAUGAGCCUAGGUCGGAUUAGCUAGUUGGUGAGGUAAUGGCUCACCAAGGCGACGAUCCGUAACUGGUCUGAGAGGAUGAUCAGUCACACUGGAACUGAGACACGGUCCAGACUCCUACGGGAGGCAGCAGUGGGGAAUAUUGGACAAUGGGCGAAAGCCUGAUCCAGCCAUGCCGCGUGUGUGAAGAAGGUCUUCGGAUUGUAAAGCACUUUAAGUUGGGAGGAAGGGUACUUACCUAAUACGUGAGUAUUUUGACGUUACCGACAGAAUAAGCACCGGCUAACUCUGUGCCAGCAGCCGCGGUAAUACAGAGGGUGCAAGCGUUAAUCGGAAUUACUGGGCGUAAAGCGCGCGUAGGUGGUUCGUUAAGUUGGAUGUGAAAUCCCCGGGCUCAACCUGGGAACUGCAUCCAAAACUGGCGAGCUAGAGUAGGGCAGAGGGUGGUGGAAUUUCCUGUGUAGCGGUGAAAU
rnacentral:rRNA from 1 species